rnacentral:rRNA from 1 species
AAAUUGAAGAGUUUGAUCAUGGCUCAGAUUGAACGCUGGCGGCAGGCCUAACACAUGCAAGUCGAACGGUAACAGGAAGCAGCUUGCUGCUUCGCUGACGAGUGGCGGACGGGUGAGUAAUGUCUGGGAAACUGCCUGAUGGAGGGGGAUAACUACUGGAAACGGUGGCUAAUACCGCAUAACGUCGCAAGACCAAAGAGGGGGACCUUCGGGCCUCUUGCCAUCAGAUGUGCCCAGAUGGGAUUAGCUUGUUGGUGAGGUAACGGCUCACCAAGGCGACGAUCCCUAGCUGGUCUGAGAGGAUGACCAGCCACACUGGAACUGAGACACGGUC